AUAUUACUUAUUUUUAAACAGAUAAUUAGUUUUUUGUCUUUCUCAUAAACAAAUACAAUAACAAUUUGGUCACCUUCACUGUCCAUACUAGGGGAGACACUAGUGGAUUUAAUGUCAACAGACUUGGUUGCCGACCCAAAAAAAAAAAGACAAGAGAAAUGGAUCUGUAUAUCCUAAAUAAUUAGUGUAAAAUCAUAGCAAAUACACAGAUAUCUGUUCACUUAUUGGAAAUACCAGG